rnacentral:lncRNA from 1 species
GGGCUCUGUAUUCAGCCGACACUGAGCCCUGCUGUAUGCUAACGAUUGCUCCUGAGUCUCUCGGGAAUACUCCUGUCUGGUGGGGAGGUGGGAGGACCCAUGAUAAAAUGUGAUCUCUAAUUGCAGAGUGACAGGAGCCCAGUGAGAACAGAGAGAGGAUAGGAUGGUGCUGGCUGCAGUGGCUGGUUACAGGCACCGUUCAAUAUUGCUUUACAGUCCAG